rnacentral:rRNA from 1 species
AUUGAACGCUGGCGGCAGGCCUAACACAUGCAAGUCGAACGAGUGGCGGACGGGUGAGUAAUGUCUGGGAAACUGCCUGAUGGUGGGGGAUAACUACUGGAAAUGGUAGCUAAUACCGCAUACCAUCGGAUGUGCCCAGAUGGGAUUAGCUAGUGGGUGGGGUAAAGGCUCACCUAGGCGGCGAUCCCUAGCUGGUCUGAGAGGAUGACCAGCGACCCGGGAACGGAGACACGGUCCAGAGUCCUAAGGGAGGCAGCAGUGGGGAAUAGUGCACAAUGGGCGCAAGCCUGAUGCAGCCAUGCCGCGUGUAUGAAGAAGGCCUUGGGGUUGUAAAGUACUUUCAGCGGGGAGGCGUUACCCGCAGAAGAAGCACCGGCUAACUCCGUGCCAGCAGCCGCGGUAAUAC